rnacentral:lncRNA from 1 species
UAUCAUACUACUUGGUCAUAUAUGUCAUUUGGAAAGUUCCUAUCCCUAUUAGGGGAACAGUCCAUUGACUUAAAAAUUUCUGCCUUUGGCCAGUCCUCAAAAAUCAUGACAGUAAGAAUAAUGGGGUGGGGAGAAGUAGGCUACAGCUUUACUGUGUGUGAUACAGAUGAGCAACUGAGUGUGAACAAAGGCAUAGGGAGUGAAGAAAGGCAGAUCCCUGGAACUCACUGGCCAUUCAGCUUGGGGAAUUGGCGAGCUUUAAGUUCUGUGAGAAACCAUGUUUUAACACAUGUUUUAAGAAAUAAGAUAGGGGGGUUGGGGAUUUAGCUCAGUGGUAGAGCACUUGCCUAGCAAGCACAAAGCCCUGGGUUCAGUCCCCAGCUCCGAAAAAAA